AGAGGGCUGAGUCACCAAAGACAUGCCUGAUGAGUGCAGCAGCUGACAAGGGGUACUGUGAGUGGAGGAAGUUGAGGAAGAACUGCAGAGACUAACAUGCAACCCAGGGGUGCUUGCAAGAGAUGUAUUUCUUCAACUUUUCCAAUGGCUUCAUAUUGUCACCACAAGGUGACAACACAUCACACUAUGAAAUAUCAAGACCUAUCAGAAUGGCCACCAAAAUUGAUGAGUUCCUCCUCACAUCUUGUUAUGUUAGCUAGAGCUCGUAUUCUGAUGCUGCUUAUAAUCAACAAGGGAGACAUGCUGGAGACAGCUUAUCAGGUCUUGCUGCAAGACAGGGACUGGUGACAGGAAGAGGAAUAAUUCCCUGUAAUCUAUGACUGACAAGGCACAAUUUAACACACUUCACAGACAAGGCUGGAAAAAAUUGUCCUUGUAGGUUGACACUGACCUGAGAUCAUUCUGGAAAAUGUCAGUGUUCUUUGGUCUAAAUACU